rnacentral:misc_RNA from 1 species
UGAAGUGUUUGGUUUCGUGUGU